rnacentral:sRNA from 6 species
AUGUACCACUCGUACACUGCGGUUCUGAGCGCGCCGUCCGCGCCCACCUGACGGCUGCUCGCUACGUUUUGUCAGCC